CUACCCAUUUUGCUUGUACUAAGUGUGGACUGUACUGCAAUCCUUCCAGUACCGUACUACCACUACUCUGAAUCCAUCCCAUUAUUGCUAUUAUUUCCUUUCUUUCUUUACCUUGGGUGAUUAGCAAAACAGCCUAGCAAUAGGUCCCUGAAAAGGAAAUGACUUCAGUGUACAUAUAGCAAAUGGAUGCCCCAGACCAACCUUAAACCACCCAUCUCUGCACUCACCAGAAACUAUCAUGUCUGCCAAAGUUUCCAGCAUGCAACCUUCCUGCAAAAAACUAUAUUUUCUCCUAGCUAUUGCCAUAAUCAGAUCGUCAGUUGAAAAUCAAGCUGAAUUCCGAUGGGCAAGGGCGGAAGCAACUUGGAAUCCAGGUGGGACAUGUGCGGACACUUGAUUCUAGUUGACAAAAGGGUGUGUUUCAUGCAUGGACAAGAGUCAACACAGACCUCAGAAGUGGGAUAUCACAUGCAAGGAGAACAUAAAAAUCUUUGAGGAUCUCCUAUCAGGACAAUUGAACAUCCCCCCUUCUCAUUUUAUUACAAAACAGGAGGUUUCUGCCUCUGUGGAUGAUCAUCUGUCAAGUUGACAUUAAAAAUUUGGUACAAGUUAGGUGCUCAACCCACAUGGUUGUAAGAAUAUCUUUUUCCCACAUCCUAACUAACUUGAUGUUAACUGUUUGUUGCAUGUAUUGCAGAUGUCAAACACACAUUGCUUUUUCUUUAAACUUCUAUUUUUGUUCUUUUU